CGCACCACUUGCCUCCGCCGCCGACCUCAACCCGCCCGCCGCCGCGGCCGCCUCCUGCCCGCUCACCGCGCGCCGCCGCCCGCCUCCUGCCCGCCCCGCGCCGCCACCGCCUACCCGCCUCCCAUCUUGGUCCCCGAGCGCCCGACCCCUGCCAGGCUCCGCCUCUGGAGGAUCUCCGUCGCCUGGAUCCACAUCCCCACGUCCGGAACGGGUCCUCCUCGAGGAGCCGCGCAUCCUCUGCCUGCUCCAAGACUGCACACAUCCUCUGCUAGGUUGAAUCCCACCGCCUACGACCGUCGCUGCCGUCAGAUCAGGGUAAUGGAUUUGAGGGUUGAUAUAUCUUGAGUUGUCCCAUUGUCAUACUUAAUUCAGGAUUCAACUCAGGAGAGUGUACAGAACAUGCAGGUUUGUAUUCUUUCCGGUGUAUGUUGGUCAUGCAUCGGAUGUCACUCGGUUUCUAGGAAUUUCAAGAUGGCAUGUAAGCUUCUCCUAUUUGACGUAUUUUUACUUUCUCGAAAUCUCUUUAUUAAUACCAAUGGUGAUUUUAUUUCUGCCUGAUGACUUGCUGUCAUAUUGUUUUAGCAAAGAAACCAACAAACAAGGAGAGAAAACUUAAACAAGAGAGAUGUAUGAGGAUGCCGGUGUCUCGCCAAACAUGUAUUGUGUGAGGACACCCUUCGUCCGACCUAAUCUUGACGAUCCUCCUUAGGUACAUACAUGUUCUUCCCUGCCGCCUCUUGGUUUAGUUCACAUGUCUUGAAUUACUUUGAUCCUUUUGGUAACAUCAAACUGGGUUCCAUAGAAGUAACUGCUAACUGGGUAUGACCUUGUGUGAGGAAUCUACAGCAGCACUUCAAAACUCCCAGGUUGUUUUCAUCAGCAAGCUUACAGCUGACCACAUGGUGUUACUCGAUAAUACAACAUUGUACGAUGCACCUGAGAUUCCAAUGGAUACCUGUCGAAGCGAUGUGGUCAUCAGCAUGAUGCAAAAUGAUUCUUCAUUUUGGGGUGCCAACUAUGCUAGCUUUAUAUUGCUGAAUGUAGGAGCUUAUUUUGUGUUCCCAUGUCUAUGAUAUGCAUGCUCUGCCGGUUCCCUGCAAGCGCUUUCGGCGAUGACCUCAAGUUCUGCUGCUAGGCCGUGAAUGUGUUGGUCCUUCUCACCGUCCACCGAUGAUGGUGCCCAAGAGAAGUCAGGGAAGGAGAAAAGGAUGUUGUUGUCGCGUGGUCGUCAGAACGACUGGCCGUGGACGCAGCCAUGCACUGGAUGCCAUCAAUGGCUAGCUGUGGACGAGCACCUCGCCGCCUCCGCAAAAUAUGAAUGCACGGGAUUCUGCUACUAACAUUGGGGAGUGUGUACUGUUGCGGUGCUGUGCUGUGACAUAUACACUGUGUGGAAGAAACCCCUGUUUGAUUUACAGGUGAUGCUGAUUCGUCUGAAAUCUACUUCUGACAGAUCAAUCUGGUUUGUUGGCUGCUGGGCGGCUUCAUGUGACGCUAUAGUGCACUAGGGAGAGGUAUAGAGGUCCCCAGAGUUACAUGUAUGCACCAUAAUGUUUCAACUUUCGAUUUUGACGUUCAAUAUUGACUCCUUCCUUGAUCCCGUUUCUUAAGGUUCAUGAUUGGCAAUUGGCCGUGGGCAAUGGAAAUAAAAUGCCUACUGAAUGUUCAUGGAUAUCUUUAAAGCAGAACAAUUCAGACUUUAGAUGUACAUCAUAUUUUUUUUGAAAGAACCGGUGAGCCACCGGCAUUCAUAUAUUAAGCAAGUAGAAAGCGGGAAAACAUGUUCAUGAUCAAGUGAUCAUGGGUGGUUACAAGAAGUUGGUUUCGAAGACCUUGAACACCAGGGCUGAGGAGGGGUAUCCUACUGUCUAGCCUGGAUCUCCUAAUGGCGUUGCCAGGCAUUUGGCCCCUGCUAGUUUCCAACUCUCUGCAUCUCUUCUUAUUGCUGCGAUCACAGAGCAAAUUUGGCUUGGCUCGUGUCUGAAAAUUCUGUUGUUUCUCUCCUUCCAAAUGUGCCAUGUGACGAGGAAGAUCAUUGUCUUGAGCUUUUCUCUGAGUCUUGGUCUUGAUUGUUGAAUGAGGCUGCGCAUGAUGCAAAUGGAGGAGGUGUUGUGAUUUGAGGGGGCGGUAAGGCGCCGUAGUCUGUCACAUUCAUGCCAGGCCGAGAUCCUUCGCCAUAUUUCCUUACUGACCGGGCACUCCCAGAAGAGAUGUACUGACGUCUCAAGGCUUCUUGUGCAAAGAGCGCAGAAGUAACCAUUCUCCCAUCCUCUGCGUUGGAGUCGAUCGUUGCACCAAAGACGGUUUUUGAGCAAGAGCCAGAAGAAGACUUUUAAGUUCCCAGGUGCCCAUGUUUUCCAUAUCAGGUGUUUGUCGUCUGUCUUCUGUAAGCUGCUGAAUUGCUCUUUGUAAGCAGAUUUUGCACUGUACACGCCCGCGCUGUGAAGAUGCCAGGAGAUUUUAUCAUCCACUUGAGGUUGCAGCGAUAUUGCUUCGGCCCGCAGUGCUCUCCAUAGGAUGAUGAAGCUGUGAAUCGGGUUCUCGUUGGGUCGUAUCUUCAAGUCCAGCACCCAUUUGUCAUUCUCAAGUGCAUCAGCAACGCAUCUGUUUUUGCCCCGUGAUCGCUUGAACAGUCCUGGAAACAGAGUGGCAAGGCUUGGAGAGGUGAUCCAUGGGGAUUGCCAGAAGUUAGCUGUUCUGUCGUUUCCAAGAGUUACAAAGGUUGCAUGGUCGAACAAGGCUUUGUCAUCCUUGUCGCAGGGUAGGUCCGAGCCCUUCCAAGGUCUGCCAUCAGUUUGCCAUGACAGCCACAACCAUCUGAGUCGCAAAGCGCGAGAGAAAUUCUGUAGGUCGUGGAUGCCAAGGCCUCCGUAUUCCGUCGGCGUACAAACUUGCUUCCAGGCAACCUUGCAUUUGCCACCAGUAAGCUCUUCUUCUCGAGUCCAAAGAAAUUUUCUGUGGUCUUUAUCAAUCUCUCUGAAUAGAAGCUUUGGUGGCCGAAGAACAGAGAGCGCAAAGGUUGGGAUCGCCGAGAGAACGCUCCGAACAAGCACUCUUCUCCCUGCGAUAUUCAUCAGUUUAUGCUUCCAGCCAGCGAGACAAGCUCGGAUGCGGUCCAGGAUGAACUGAAAGUGAACGAUUUUGGCACGUCCGAGGCUUAUUGGUAAUCCCAAGUAACGUAUUGGGAAGGCAACAAUCUGUCCGCCAAACGCAUGCAGAACUUCCUGAAGGUUAAGGUGGUCACAGCGAAUGGGCGUGAUGGUGCACUUGCUGAUGUUGAGGUGAAGGCCUGAGGCUUCUCCAAAGCUGGUGAUGAUCUGAAAUAGUUUGUCGAGCUCUUCCCGAACUGGGUUUGCGAAGAUGACAGCAUCAUCAGCGUACAUGUUGGUGCGCAGUUUCAGUUCUCUUCCAGGUAGCGGGGCAAGAAUGCCGUCGUCAGCAGCUUUUGUUAUGAGCCGGUGGAGGAUGUCAAUGGCAAGGAUAAACAACAGCGGGGACAACGGGUCUCCUUGCCGCAGCCCACGGCGGUGGAUGAGAGGGACGCCAGGGUCGCCGUUUAACAGGAAGGCUGAUGAGUAUGAUUUGAGCAGCAUGGCAAUCCAGUCCCUCCAGCGGCUGCUAAAACCAAGCUGCUGAAGCAGUUCAAACAUAAACUCCCAGGAGACCGAGUCAAAAGCUCGAGCAAUGUCCAGUUUAAUCAGCAAGGCAGGCUCCUUUCUUCUGUGCAAUGAUCGAACUGAGUUCCUGACAUAAAGGUAGUUAUCUUGCAGGCAUCUUGACUUGAGAAAAGCGCUCUGAGCUAGCGAAAUGAUCGGUGAGAUUUUCUCUGCCAAUCUUAUCGAGAGCACUUUGGUGAUGAGCUUUGCAAUUGAGUUGAUGAGGCUAAUCGGCCGAAAAUCACCCAUGGAUUCGGCUCCAUCUUUCUUAGGCAGCAACGCCACAAAAGCAGAGUUGAUUUUGUCGAAGUUUGCCCUGGAUAGGCUCUGGAACUGGUUGAAUACUGCCAUCACCUCAUCUUUUAUGAUGUCCCAGCAGCUUCUGAAAAAUUGUCCGCUGAAACCGUCAGGCCCCGGGGCCUUUUCUGUCGGGGAUUCAAUGAUCGCUCUCCAAACUUCCGCUUCAGUGAAAGGAGCAUCAAGUCCAUCAGCUUGAAUUGUUGGCAGGUUUAGAGCUUCCCAGUUAAUGGUGCAUUUCCUGGGUUCAGCAGCUCCCAUGAUUUUCUUGAAAUGCUCAUAAAUGGCGGCAGCCUUCUCGUCAUGCUCGAUCGCCACAUGAUCUUCAGAUCGCAGAGAGUGAAUGAAAUUUUUUCUCCUCCUCGAGCAGGCCUUUGCAGUGAAGAAAGUAUUGGUUGCAUCUCCGGCCUUGAGCCAUGUUAUCCGAGAAGCUUGGCGACGACGCGCAUGCUCGACGGCCGCAAGACCGGUAAUCCUUUGUUUCAGAAGCUUUCUCAGGUUGAACUCGGCUAGGGAUAGUUGGCGCUUUUCCAUGGCCACAUCGAAUCUCAGGAUUAAUUCUGAAGCAAUGUGGAACUGCAUCUUCGCGUCACUGAAUAAAGUACCGCUCCAAAUCUUCAGGUCUUUGGCCACCCGCUCGAGUCUUGUCUUGAUCCUGCUGAAGGCGCAGGUUUGCGUGGCGGGGUGUUGCUAUGCCCGCUGUACCAUUUCUCUGAAGUGAGGAAAACUGACCCAGAAGCUUUCAAAACGGAAUCUUGCUCAUCGCGGAGGGGCGGUGGCACUGGCAAGGAUGAGGGGGCAGUGGUCCGAGCAGGUUGUGGAUGCGGCGACGAGCAUGAAGGAGGGGAAAGGGCUUCCCAUUCUAGGUUAGCGAAGAAUUUGUCGAUGCUGACUAACGUGGGCGAUUCCCGUUCGUUACUCCAGAUGACAUUGAAGUCUCCGUUAACUAGCCAUGGAGUGCCUACAGGAGGUGCCGUGCUAGCUAAUUCAGCGAAGAAGGCGUCUCUGUUGGUGCCGUCGGAGGGGCCGUAUACUGAUGUGAGGACGAAACUAGUUGCCGAGCUAACUAGAGUGACAGUGGCUGUGAUGGAGAAUUGGCCAACUGCCUGGGAGUAGACGGACACGAGAUCACGGUUCCAGAAGAUUGCAACUCCGCCCCUGGAGCCAAUCGCCGGUAGUACUAUGCAAUCUUUGAAGUGGCUGCCGCCAAUGUCCCUAACCAUGGUUUGAGACCAUGUUUCUAUUUUUGUUUCCUGGAGGCAGAGGAUGGCGAGUCACUGUGCCGCUCCUACCUCUCUAACUAUUUCCCGCCUUGCCGCUGAGUUCAGUCCCCGGACAUUCCAGGACAUGAUCGCACAAUUGAUGUUACUCAU